rnacentral:rRNA from 1 species
GCGCAGCAGUCGCGAAACCUCCGCAAUACACGAAAGUGUGACGGGGCCAUCCCGAGUGCCGUCCGCUGAGGACGACUUUUCCCCAGUGUACACAGCUGGGGGAAUAAGGAGAGGGCAAGCCUGGUGUCAGCCGCCGCGGUAAUACCAGCUCUCCGAGUGGUGGGGACGCUUAUUGGGCCUAAAGCAUCCGUAGCCGGCUGGGCAAGUCCUCCGUUAAAUCCAACGAUUCAAUCGUUGGGCUGCGGGGGAUACUGUCCAGCUUGGGGGCGGGAGAGGCCGACGGUAUUCCCGGGGUAGGGGUGAAAGUCCUAUAAUCCCGGGAGGACCACCAGUGGCGAAGGCUGUCGGCUAGAACGCGCCCGACGGUGAGGGGAUGAAAAGCUGGGGGGAGCGAACCGGAUUAGAUACCCGUGUAGU